rnacentral:rRNA from 1 species
CCUACGGGAGGCAGCAGUGAGGAAUAUUGGUCAAUGGCCGGAAGGCUGAACCAGCCAAGCCGCGUGAAGGACGAAGGUGCCAAGCAUUGUAAACUUCUUUUGUCAAGGGACAAAAUCAGGCUCGAGAGCCUGACCGAGGGUACUUGAAGAAAAGGCAUCGGCUAACUCCGUGCCAGCAGCCGCGGUAAUACGGGGGGUGCAAGCGUUGUCCGGAAUCAUUGGGCGUAAAGCGUUCGUAGGCGGCAAGGUAAGUCUGAUGUUAAAGCCCGGGGCUCAACUCCGGUUCGGCAUUGGAUACUAUCUAGCUAGAAUGUGGUAGAGGUAAAGGGAAUUCCUGGUGUAGCGGUGAAAUGCGUAGAUAUCAGGAGGAACAUCGGUGGCGAAAGCGCUUUACUGGACCAUUAUUGACGCUGAGGAACGAAAGCCAGGGGAGCAAAUGGGAUUAGAUACCCCUGUAGUC